UAUAAGCAGUACCUCGAGUUAGUAUUGGCAUAUUCUUCUUUUUUACCUGGCGAUAAAUACAUUCUACAAAUAUGAAAACUUUGGUUAUUGUUGCUGCAGUUCUUCUUUGUGUUGCUUUAGUUUCAGCAACCGAUGAUAAAACUACAACAGCUGAUGUAAAAAUUCUGAAUGAAGGUGAUCCAUGUAAAGAUGAAAACGGGAAACCAAUACCCCAGACUCAAUGUGGACCAGGCUUAAGAUGUUGUGGAUAUUUCAAGAAAUGUGUUAAAAACGAUGAAAAACAUUAAAUAUAUUUGACUAUACUUUCUCAUAAAACCAUGCUUACUUUAAAUAUCAUUGAAACCAAAUAGUUUCUUUUAAUUGUGUACUAAAUAAUAAUUAUAAUAAUAAAGAAUCCAAAAUCUCAA